CACAGAGGGGCUCAGAGCUGAAUUCGCCCACCUGUAAGUGUCUGGAAAAGCCUGGAUGAGCGGCAUGCUGCACCAGCAGAAUGAGCACACCCGUGCCUGUGACCAACAGCUUCCUCUGGGUAUGAGGUCUCCCCGGACCACUUCUGUGCCCCACAGACUGGUGGCAUCACAGCAGUGUUUAUCAGAGUCCUCUGUACAGGGCAGCUGAGGUGAGAUGCUAAGAUGAUGGGACUGUGCAGGCUGGAUCCACCCACCCUUAACCAGGGAGGAGACGGGGAGCAACCAACCCAGUGCCUCUUCCCAGAAAUGUUGUCCCGGAAGAAUCCAAGGACUACUUUUUCCCCACUUGUUCCCGGACACUGAGGGAAGGCAGGCACCGUGUGUCAUCGGGACUAUGCUGCGUGCCUCUGGACGUCACCACACCGCCCAUGCACAAACCGUCUGGCCAAGAAGGAGCUUAUCCCAGAGACAAUUCUGCCUGGGAAACACCACAGCCCUAAUUCUGUAAGCAUCGCCCACUAAAUCUGAAGAAAUCAGAGCCCUGAAGGGCAUAACA